AUACGGAGGGUGCAAGCGUUAUUCGGAAUCACUGGGCGUAAAGGACGCGUAGGCGGGUUGGCAAGUCAGAUGUAAAAUCCUACAGCUUAACUGUAGAACUGCAUUUGAAACUGCUAACCUAGAGUAUGGGAGGGGGAGAUGGAAUUAGUGGUGUAGGGGUAAAAUCCGUAGAUAUCACUAGGAAUACCGAAAGCGAAGGCGAUCUCCUGGAACAUAACUGACGCUAAGGCGUGAAAGCGUGGGGAGCAAACAGGAUUAGAAACCCUAGUAGUCC
rnacentral:rRNA from 1 species